rnacentral:lncRNA from 1 species
GCAUGGUCUGUGGGUUAUACCCUCGAAAAGGCAAUGCUCUUGAAGCUCAGCAGUGCAUGCUGUCCAAAAAGACUCCAAAAGCAUCACAAGAGGCUGAAACGGUUAUAGAAGACCUUCUUGGAUUGUGAUCUCCACUAAUUCGAAGGAAACAGACGCCAUGCAGACCAUACACAGCCUUCGCCUCACAUGCCCUCACUGCAUCAGGAACCUCAUGAGGAUAAGCACACCAGUGAAAUCUUACAAACCUGACACUCAUUAAAACAUAGUUAGCGGAAAUAAUAACUGUCUGUAAACAUAAAUGCCUCAUAAGUUUGCAAUAAAUUGAAUACAUGAUGCAACAGCC